rnacentral:rRNA from 1 species
GACGAACGCUGGCGGCGUGCUUAACACAUGCAAGUCGAACGGUGAAGCGCUUGCCUUUUUGGUGGGUGUGGAUGAGUGGCGAACGGGUGAGUAACACGUGAGUAACCUGCCCUCUUCUUCUGGAUAACCUCAUGAAAGUGGGGCUAAUACGGGGUAUUCCGGGUCUGUCGCAUGGCGGGUUUGGGAAAGAUUGCGCCUUUGGGUGUUUUCGGUGGGGGAUGGGCUCGUGGCCUAUCAGCUUGUUGGUGGGGUGAUGGCCUACCAAGGCGGUGACGGGUAGCCGGCCUGAGAGGGUGGAUGGCCACACUGGGACUGAGACACGGCCCAGACUCCUGCGGGAGGCAGCAGUGGGGAAUAUUGCACAAUGGGCGCAAGCCUGAUGCAGCGACGCCGCGUGAGGGAUGGAGGCCUUCGGGUUGUGAACCUCUUUCGCCAGUGAAGCAGGCCUGCUCCUGUGUGGGUGGGUUGACGGUAGCUGGAUAAGAAGCGCCGGCUAACUACGUG